AACAAGGGUCACGGUGAACUAUUGCUAGCUUGAGGAGAUGCUCACAUGAAGACAUGGUUGCCGGAGUUUCUACCUUUUCAAGUUGAUUGUUGGUGUAUGAGCCAAGACUGAAGAUAUACAAGCUUAUGUCUAUGAUUCUCAUGCACGCUCUUCCAUUGCCGGCAUCCAUCUUGCUCUCUGGUGGUGGAAGCAGCAACGAGGCGCUCGCGGUUGUGUGGUGAGUGCACUUCACCUUCAUGUGCAAGGGUGGUUCAUCCACCCGCCUCCAUCUAUGAAUGAAGUGCCUCAAGAAAAACUAGGAGGUUGAGAAGCUGAUAGGUAGAAUAGUGAAAUGGUUGAAGCCCGGUGGCCAUAUUUUCAUUAAGUAAUCGUGUUUCCACCAAUUUGGAGGUUCCAAGAAGAAAGUAAAGCCUACACACUACCAAGAGCCAAGCUUUUAUAGCAAGGUAUUUGUGUGAUUGAUCAGAACUACAUACAUAAAAGAUGCAAGGACACAAUAUGAUUUGGCAUUUUCAGUGCUAGCACAUGGAGCAGCAAGAGGGAGGAGAGGAGCUACCACGGUGGCCAGGUAACUCGAGGAUGGAGGGGAAUUCGCGUAGAAUAAGCCUGCACUCUUCGAGAAAAUACAUAGGAUAAUUAUGAAAUAAGGUACUGAAAAAAAACAAGAAAAUAUAGGUGACCAAAUACUUGAGGGGUUGCAACUCUGCAAGACUGAAAUUAACGAAAAGGUAAGCCUUUCCUUUAUUAGAUGAACAAACAGCUAAGCCAGCUGAGGAGCGAUCUCCAACAGCUUCCCGGUCGCCAGUGGUCAAAGAUUGUCCGCUGAAAGACGAACAAGUGAUCAUGUUCUAUCAUUGUUGAAAGGAGUAGUGAAUGUUGAUGUAUGUAUAUUUUUCAUUCAGUGUAUUGGAAGUGCAAGUUGGUAUAUACCCCCUCCAUUCCUUUAUAUAAGGUGUAUUUGUUUUUUGAUAAAAUUCCACAAUGUAAGGUGCAUUUCUUCUAAAUUCUCAUAAUUCCAUUUGUAUCCCUCCAGAAAGAGGAAAGUAUAUCUCUCCUGAUUUCAUGUAUCUCUCCUUAUAUCAAAAGAAGAAACUAUCUCUCUCUUGAUUGCAUGUAUCUCUUACUUUCCUGGACUCACUUAUUUACUUGCCACUAACUAACAAAAUUUUCAAGGGUAAUUUUGUCCUAACACCUCUAUAAUUAUGCGCCUUGGUCACCGUGCCGAAAAUAAUACACCUUACAUAAAGGAACGG